rnacentral:rRNA from 1 species
UACGUAGGGUGCGAGCGUUAAUCGGAAUUACUGGGCGUAGAGCGUGCGCAGGCGGUUCGUGAUGUCUGGUGUGAAAGCCCCGGGCUUAACCUGGGAAUUGCAUUGGAAACUAGCGGGCUGGAGUGUGGCAGAGGGGGGUGGAAUUCCACGUGUAGCAGUGAAAUGCGUAGAGAUGUGGAGGAACACCGAUGGCGAAGGCAGCCCCCUGGGCUAACACUGACGCUCAUGCACGAAAGCGUGGGGAGCAAACAGG